GAUGAACGCUGGCGGCGUGCCUAAUACAUGCAAGUCGAGCGAACAGGUGAGUAGCUUGCUCCUCUGACGUUAGCGGCGGACGGGUGAGUAACACGUGGAUAACCUACCUAUAAGACUGGGAUAACUUCGGGAAACCAGAGCUACUACCAGGUGAUAUAUUGAACCGCAUGGUUCAAUGGUGAAAGACGGUUUUGCUGUCACUUAUAGAUGGAUCCGCGCCGCAUUAGCUAGUUGGUAAGGUAACGGCUUACCAAGGCGACGAUGCGUAGCCGACCUGAGAGGGUGAUCGGCCACACUGGAACGGAGACGCGGUCCAGACUCCUACGGGAGGCAGCAGUAGGGAAUCUUACGCAAUGGGCGGAAGCAUGAUGGAGCAACGCCGCGUGAGUGAUGAAGGUCUUCGGAUCGUAAAACUCUGUUAUUAGGGAAGAACAAAUGUGUAAGUAAUUGUGCACGUCUUGACGGUAGCUAAACAGAAAGCCACGGCUAACUACGUG
rnacentral:rRNA from 1 species